UUUUGCGCAAUAGGGGAAACCCUGACGCAGCAACGCCGCGUGAGUGAAGAAGGCCUUCGGGUCGUAAAGCUCUGUCAAGUGGGAAAAAAAUCAACCAGUGAAUAGCUGGUUGGCCUGAUGGUACCACUAGAGGAAGCACCGGCUAACUCCGUGCCAGCAGCCGCGGUAAUACGGAGGGUGCAAGCGUUGUUCGGAAUUACUGGGCGUAAAGCGCGUGUAGGCGGUUUGGUAAGUCAGAUGUGAAAGCCCUGGGCUCAACCCAGGAAGUGCAUUUGAUACUGCCUUACUCGAGUAUGGGAGAGGAGAGUGGAAUUCCCAGUGUAGAGGUGAAAUUCGUAGAUAUUGGGAGGAACACCCGUGGCGAAGGCGACUCUCUGGACCAAUACUGACGCUGAGACGCGAAAGCGUGGGGAGCAAACAGG
rnacentral:rRNA from 1 species